AUUGAACGCUGGCGGCAGGCCUAACACAUGCAAGUCGAACGGUAGCACAGAGAGCUUGCUCCCGGGUGACGAGUGGCGGACGGGUGAGUAAUGUCUGGGAAACUGCCUGAUGGAGGGGGAUAACUACUGGAAACGGUAGCUAAUACCGCAUAACGUCGCAAGACCAAAGAGGGGGACCUUCGGGCCCCUUGCCAUCAGAUGUGCCCAGAUGGGAUUAGCUAGUAGGUGGGGUAACGGCUCACCUAGGCGACGAUCCCUAGCUGGUCUGAGAGGAUGACCAGCCACACUGGAACUGAGACACGGUCCAGACUCCUACGGGAGGCAGCAGUGGGGAAUAUUGCACAAUGGGCGCAAGCCUGAUGCAGCCAUGCCGCGUGUAUGAAGAAGGCCUUCGGGUUGUAAAGUACUUUCAGCGGGGAGGAAGGCGAUAAGGUUAAUAACCUUGUCGAUUGACGUUACCCGCAGAAGAAGCACCGGCUAACUCCGUGCCAGCAGCCGCGGUAACAC
rnacentral:rRNA from 1 species